rnacentral:lncRNA from 1 species
AGUGGUAGAGUAAUGCAGUGUGAGAAAGAGUCAGCUGGAUAUUGCUGUCUGGGAGAUAGAAGAGAGCCACAAACAAAGGAAUGCAGGUGGUCUCUCGAAACUGCACAGGGCAUGAAAAUGGAUCCUCCCCUGGAGCCUCCAGGGAUAGAAAUCAGUGACACCUUGAGACCCAGUUUGGACUUCUGACCUCCAGAACUGCAACGUGAUACAUUUGCAUUGGUGUGAGCCACUAAUUUUGAGAACAAACACCGAUAAUGUUUACUCUCUCAAUUUGGGGACAUAUAAACAAGGAAAUGCCAAUAACUGAGUUGCAAUUUGAAUGCUUCUCUGAGUGCAUUGAAGUGAGAAAAUAUCUAGAAAGUAAGCCAGGAGAUGUGUAUGAACUGAGAUGGAGUGAGCACCCCCGACAUGUGGAGAGCUUGCAGAAGAGCAUCCUAAAAGCUCACAGGUGCUUCACUGGUUCAAGCCCUGCCCCCUCCUCUUUUUACUGUCACUACAGCUUUGCCUUUUCCAGACUGUCACAUAAUUGGAAUCAUACGCAUUAUUCACAAUAGCCAAGUCAUGGAAGCAAUCCAGGUGCCCAUCAACUGAUGAAUGGAUAAAGAAGAUGUGGGACAUAUAUACAAUGGAAUAAUACUCAU